ACGGAAAAGAACCUUACCAGGACUUGACAUCCAACUAACGAAGCAGAGAUGCUUUAGGUUCCGUUCGGGGAAAGAUGAGACAGGUGGUGCAUGGUUGUCGUCAGCUCGUGUCGUGAGAUGUUGGGUCAAGUCCCGCAACGACCCCAACCCCUAUUGUUAGUUGCUUAGAAAGGGCACUCUAGGGAGACUGCCGUUGACAACCCGGAGGAAGGCGGGGAUGACGUCAAAUCAUCAUGCCCCUUAUGUCCUGGGCUACACACGUAAUACAAUGGUGGCCACAAAGGGGAAGCAAAGGGGGGAUCCGGAGCAAAACCAUAAAAGCCAUCUCAGUUCGGAUUGCAGUCUGCAACUCGCCUGCAUGAAGCUGGAAUCGCUAGUAAUCGCG
rnacentral:rRNA from 1 species